ensembl:snRNA RNU6-457P RNA, U6 small nuclear 457, pseudogene
UUGCUCACUUUGGCAGCACAUAUACUAACAUUGGAAUGAUACAGAGAAGAUUAGCGUGACCCCUGCACAACGAUGACAUGGGAAUUUGUGAAGCGUUUCAUAUUUUU